UACGUAGGGUGCAAGCGUUGUCCGGAAUUAUUGGGCGUAAAGAGCUCGUAGGCGGUUUGUCACGUCGUCUGUGAAAUCCCGAGGCUUAACCUCGGGCCUGCAGGCGAUACGGGCAGACUUGAGCACUGUAGGGGAGACUGGAAUUCCUGGUGUAGCGGUGGAAUGCGCAGAUAUCAGGAGGAACACCGGUGGCGAAGGCGGGUCUCUGGGCAGUAACUGACGCUGAGGAGCGAAAGCGUGGGUAGCGAACAGG
rnacentral:rRNA from 1 species